UUAAAGGAAUUGACGGAAGGGCACCACCAGGAAUGGAGCCUGCGGCUUAAUUUGACUCAACACGGGAAAACUUACCCGGCCCGGACACAGGAAGGAUUGACAGAUUAAGAGCUCUUUCUUGAUUCUGUGGGUGGUGGUGCAUGGCCGUUCUUAGUUGGUGGAGCGAUUUGUCUGGUUAAUUCCGAUAACGAACGAGACUCUAGCCUACUAAAUAGACGUUCCGAUCCACUUCGUCGGACGUUCUUCUUAGAGGGACAAGCGGCGUUUAGCCGCACGAGACAGAGCAAUAACAGGUCUGUGAUGCCCUUAGAUGUUCGGGGCCGCACGCGCGCUACAUUGAAGGAAUCAGCGUGUGCUUUCCCUGUCCGACAGGACUGGGUAACCCGUUGAAACUCCUUCGUGCUGGGGAUAGGAAAUUGUAAUUGUUUUCCUUGAACGAGGAAUUCCCAGUAAGCACGAGUCAUAAGCUCGUGUUGAUUACGUCCCUGCCCUUUGUACACACCGCCCGUCGCUACUACCGAUUGAGCGAUUUAGUGAGGUCUUCGGACUGGCGCUCGGAGCGGCUUUCGGGUCGUGCCGGCGUGCCGGAAAGAUGACCGAACUUGACCGCUUAGAGGAAGUAAAAGUCGUAACAAGGUUUCCGUA
rnacentral:rRNA from 1 species